CGGGGGCCCUUCGUCAGAGGCAGGAGACCCUCGGCCCAGAAGCUCAGAAGCAGCUGUGCCUUCAGGAUGGUUCCCUUCAGGCAAGCAGCUUCUUUCAUUUGCUUGUUGGCUACAGUCUCCUGUGGGUGCCUACCUCAACUAUAUGAGAAUGUCUUCUUCAGAGGCAGGGAUGUGACUGCCAUGUACACCCUGAGCGCCCAUCACUGCCAGGUGAUGUGCACCUUUCACCCCAGGUGUUUGCUAUUCAGUUUUCUCCCUGCGAGUUUAACUAACGGCACAGAUAAAAGGUAAGAGGUGAUAUUUCCUUAUUAGGAAAGCCAGUCAUUUUUCAAAAUGGAAGCAGUUGUGUGCAAAGUGGUACAGCAUCUCACAGGGGUAUGCUUCUCAAAUGGGGUUCAAGGAAUCACCUAGAGUGGAUCUUACAAAAGUAAUUUCUUAGGCUGAAGCCCAGACCUACUGAACCAAAGCUGCAUUGGCCUGGAAAUCUGCAUCCUAAACAAGUGCUGCAUUCACUUAAAGUGGUAGAAGCUAGUUGUUUUCUAUCA